UACAGAGGUCUCAAGCGUUGUUCGGAUUCAUUUGGCGUAAAGGGUGCGUAGGUGGCGCCGUAAGUCAGGUGUGAAAUUUCGGAGCUUAACUCCGAAACUGCAUUUGAUACUGCGGUGCUUGAGGACUGGAGAGGAGACUGGAAUUCACGGUGUAGCAGUGAAAUGCGUAGAUAUCGUGAGGAAGACCAGUGGCGAAGGCGGGUCUCUGGACAGUUCCUGACACUGAGGCACGAAGGCCAGGGGAGCAAACGGG
rnacentral:rRNA from 1 species